AACUUAAAGUGAUUUUAUCACAUUUUUGACUCCACAAAUCAAUAUUUUUAUUAAAUUAUUUAAGU
rnacentral:tRNA from 1 species